AUGGAAAACGGAUGUUAAAUGAUGAUGAUGAUGACAAAAAACGUGUAUUAAAGUGACAUGCGCACUCAUUGUAUGAGUGCAAGUUUAUUCAUGUAUGCACACAUUAACAUGUUUACAUAUGUACAAAUUCCAGGAAUUGUCAUAAACAAAAAAGCCAUGUCAUUUUGUUAGCGAGUGACUUGAAUCCAAUGAAGGAAGACUUAAAUAAUCUCAAAGACAAAUUAUACACUGACACACGCACGCAUGCGCGCACACACACACACACACACACAAACAUACAAACAUUUUAUGUGUACACAAUCAAACAGUUCUACACAUGGUGUGACAUUUAUGCUUGUACACAUAUAUGCAUGUGAGUAACAUGCGCACACAUACACACACCGAAACAAUUAUGCAGUUGAUGUCUAAAUAUCAAUGAAAGAUCCUUGUUUCAGGGUUAAGAAUCAGAAACUGGCUCUUUUCCUAUUGAUGAGAAAUUUAAAAAGUAAGACCAGCGUGUGUGUAUGUACACACACACACACACACACACACACACCACACACACACACACACACACACACACACACACACAAACACAAACACGCACACACACACUUUAAAUCUGUUUUUGUUAUUAAUUAAUGUCUAGGAAACAUUUUUACCAUUUUUACCCCCAAAAUCCAAAUUGUUUUAGUGGAGCUUUUUUUGUUAAAAGGUGUUCUGAAACCUGUAUUAUUGAACAAUAUUUCAAGUAUUAUUGGACAAUAUUUCAAUUUGCCACUCCAAAAUCUUUAAAAGGGUUUAUUAAAUGAUUCACUGAAGAAGUGAAAAUGUUUUUUUUUUAAUUAAAAAGAAAAAAUUUUGACAAGUGAUAUUUUGCAGCUUAUUUAUCUGUUGUAUACACUGCAUUCAUACAACAUUGUUUUGCUGGUAACUACACAGCUAUUGUCAGUGUGCAUUGUAAAGUAUUUUGUAGCACUUGCUACUUGUGAUACAUACUAUGUUGUCUUGCAUAGUUAUUAGUGGCCUUAAUAAGUAGUAAGUAGUAAUUGUAUAUUUGGUGUUAGAAUGAAUAAUACCGCACAGAGACUGAAAUUAUCUGGUGAUUCUUAAAAGUGAAAAUAGCUGAACUAACAACUUCUAUUUUAAAUUGACAUUGAAGUAGUUAUAUGUAAUAUAAAUGACACUGAGAUUUUUCGUUUUUUUGAUCAUUAAUACUAUCUCUGAUGAUAACAUGAGAACAUAUUUACAGCAAUAUAUUGGAAAGAUGUUAGAUUUAAUUUUCAAUCUUUUAUAAUGACAUAGUAUUGAGAUCUUUAAGUGCUGACUCACUGAACCUUUCGUUUAAACUGUUGGCGCCACACCACUUUUCUUUGUCUGACAAUAGGUUCAGUUCAGUUUCAUAGUUAAGUGGUUAGCAAUAGGAAGGAAGGGCAUAAGGUCAUAAAAUAUUUCCUAGAAUAGGUAAAAUAGACAAAUUUUUCAAAUCUAUUCUACUCAUCUUAGGAUGGAAUUAUAGAUGUAAAAUAUUUUUUUUUUUUUAUAAAUUACAUUCUAAUAUUAAGGCAGUGACCUAGCAGAAUUGUUUACCUGCCAGGCAAAAUGCUUAGCGGCAUUUCAUCUGUUUUUAUGUUGUGUGUUCAAAUCCUGCCAAGGUUGACUUUACCUUUCAUCCUACUGGGAUUGGUAAAAUAAAUACCAGUUGAGUACUGGGGGUCGAUGUAAUCGACUUGCCCCCUCUCUUGAAGCUGCUGGCCUUGUGCCAAAAUUUGAAACCAAUAUAUCCUAAUACAUUUUACAAAUAUAUAACUCUGUAAUUUCAAAUACUAUUCAAAUAAUGAUAAUGAAUCUGUAAGAAUUUGCAUAUUAAUUGAAACUAAGCAAUGUAAGUACACAGUGUCUGUGUUGUAGUUAUUAAUUAAAUGCCAUUUAUUGUUCUCUUUUCUCUUUAUUUUCAAUUAUUUUAGAAUUAUUGUUUGAUAUGUUCUCAGGGAAAGGAAUUAAAUUGAGUGAAUACAGAUUUUGAUAUAUGUAAUGCUAUGGUUAAGUAGCUAUAUGUAUUGAGUUUUGUGAAUGAAAGUAAAUGAAACCGUCCUGACAAGAGAGAAGCAGCUUUUAUUCGUUUUAAAAUUUCAUAUUCCAUUUGGUGAUUGAUAGCAUUGUUGAUUACAAGUUUCUAAUGGACAAAUGAUAGGAUCACUGCAUUUUUGACGGCAGCAGUGACAAGGGAUUGUCUGUGCAACUUGGGUGAAACAAACACCAUUUAGUAUUUUUAUUAAAAAAUUUAAAAGCAUCAGUUUUUAGGUUUCUUGCUAUUUUUUACAUCUUAUUCUGUGAAGUAUGCACACACACACAUGUACACACACACACAUGUAUACACACACACAUAGACACACACACACACACACAGAGCUUUUGUAGUUUUCAUCUACUCUGCUCACAAGGCAGUGGUCAGUAGAAUGCUAUGGAAGAAAACACUCGCUCAAGAUAUUGCAUAGUGGGAUCAAAUUCAGAACCAUGUAGUAACCCCCCCCCCAAAAAAAAACAACAAACAAACAAAAUAACAAACAAAAAAAACAACAACA
rnacentral:lncRNA from 1 species